CUACGGGCGGCAGCAGUUACGAAAACUUUACAAUGCGCGAAAGCGUGAUAAGGGAAUUCCUAGUGCUCAUACUUUGUAUGGGCUUUUGUCAAGUGUAAAAAGCUUGGCGAAUAAGUGAUGGGUAAGACCGGUGCCAGCCGCCGCGGUAACACCGGCGUCACAAGUGGCAAUCAUGAUUAUUGGGCCUAAAGCGUCCGUAGCCGGUUUAGUAAAUUUCUUGUGAAAUUGUUUGGCUCAACCAAACAGCGUGCAAGAAACACUGCUAGACUUGGAAUCGGGAGGAGCUAGGGGUAUUCCAGGGGGAGCGGUAAAAUGCUAUAAUCCUUGGAGGACCACCUAUGGCGAAGGCUUCUAGCUAGAACGAAUUCGACGGUGAGGGACGAAAGCCAGGGGAGCGAUCCGGAUUAGAUACCCUAGUAGUC
rnacentral:rRNA from 1 species